ensembl:lncRNA
CAACUUCUACAAUUGUUAUCAAUUUAAUUCUUCCCCUUCUCCACAAUCUAUUCUCCACAUUGUUGUCACCGAUUUUUACACAACACAGAUCUGGCCACUGACUUCCCCUGGAAUCUGUUUCAACUCCACUCCUAACUACACUGAAGCCAGUUUUCCACCUGGGCCCUUGCUCAAGCUGGUGGCCAACCUUCCUUCCUUGGAAGCCCCCUGGAACCUUUACAGAAGCGUUCAUAGGAGACUGAUGAAUUUUGACCUUGCCUUAUCAUUGUUAAUGCAAGAUCCAGAUUGGGAGGUUCUUAAGAAGGAGGGGUACACCUUGCUCACAUUAUUUCCCACAGCACUUGGCCCUGCAUAAAGGCCCUCUGAUUAUUGAGUCAAGUCAUGGGUGAAGAACUGCAGCAUAAUCAGUUGAUUUCUUUUGCUUUUGAUUUCUUUCUUUUUAAAACAAACUUUCUCACCCAGUCAACCCUAAAGAAGGAAGAUAUGUGCCCAGAAGGAAAGAGAUGAAAGGAAGAAUGAAGAGAAAGACAAUUACUGAAAGAUGUUCAAGAAUGUCUGAACUUUGUUUAAAAAAUAAUGCAUACAUCCAGAGUUUUGAAGAAUGCCUGAACAGUCCACCGUCUACGGAAGUACUAAGGACAAGAUUUUUAUCCCUGUUCAGAUACUAGAAUCUCUCCUAAAAUAGAGUGAACAACCUCAGGGAUGAUCAUCAGGAGCUCAAUCCCAGAGUACGAAGACUCCAAAGUCACUUUCAGAUGUUCGACUCCUAGACCCUGAGUGAAGGAAGUCUUUCCUGCCGAGUGACCCCUGCUUUGGGGAAGACCCAGAGAGUGGAGAGCACUGGGAGAGUUGGGACUGGAGAGAGUGGAGGGAAACCAUCUAAGAGAAGUUGGCAGCAGACAAAAGAAAGGCUUGGCCAGAGAAAGCAGCCCACUUAUAUUGUUGGACAGAAUCUGACAAAGCAGACAAGAAAUGUCAACGGUGAGUGUUAGCAAGCCUAAAUAUCCUGG